rnacentral:rRNA from 1 species
GAUGAACGCUGGCGGCGUGCCUAAUACAUGCAAGUCGAGCGAACAGACGAGGAGCUUGCUCCUCUGACGUUAGCGGCGGACGGGUGAGUAACACGUGGAUAACCGACCUAUAAGACUGGGAUAACUUCGGGAAACCGGAUCUAAUACCGGAUAAUAUAUUGAACCGCAUGGUUCAAUAGUGAAAGACGGUUUUGCUGUCACUUAUAGAUGGAUCCGCGCCGCAUUAGCUAGUUGGUAAGGUAACGGCUUACCAAGGCAACGAUGCGUAGCCGACCUGAGAGGGUGAUCGGCCACACUGGAACUGAGACACGGUCCAGACUCCUACGGGAGGCAGCAGUAGGGAAUCUUCCGCAAUGGGCGAAAGCCUGACGGAGCAACGCCGCGUGAGUGAUGAAGGUCUUCGGAUCGUAAAACUCUGUUAUUAGGGAAGAACAAAUGUGUAAGUAACUAUGCCCGUCUUGACGGUACCUAAUCAGAAAGCCACGGCUAACUACGUG